UAAAAGUGCUUCCUUUGCAAAACAGGAGCUUCCUUUCAGUAUUUCCACUUUGCACACAUGAAAGGAAAUAAAUUGGGAGACUCAGCCUUCUGAAGUAUAAAAAUUUAAGACAUUUGGCUCAGUCCUAGUGGAGAGGCCACAAAGUGGAACAAAUAGGAGAGCUUUCCCACUUCUUUACUAAAAUGUUGAAGAUACUGAGGAGCAUAACAUGGGAG
rnacentral:lncRNA from 1 species